UACGUAGGGGGCAAGCGUUAUCCGGAUUUACUGGGUGUAAAGGGAGCGUAGACGGCAGCGCAAGUCUGGAGUGAAAUCCCAUGGCUUAACCAUGGAACUGCUUUGGAAACUGUGCAGCUGGAGUGCAGGAGAGGUAAGCGGAAUUCCUAGUGUAGCGGUGAAAUGCAUAGAUAUCACACAGAACACCGAUUGCGAAGGCAUCUGACGAAUCGGAGAUUGACGCUGAUGCACGAAAGCGUGGGUAUCGAACAGG
rnacentral:rRNA from 1 species